UACGAAGGGGGCUAGCGUUGUUCGGAAUUACUGGGCGUAAAGGGCGCGUAGGCGGCCUGUUAAGUCGAACGUGAAAUCCCCGGGCUCAACCCGGGAACUGCGUCCGAUACUGGCAGGCUUGAAUCCGGGAGAGGGAUGCGGAAUUCCAGGUGUAGCGGUGAAAUGCGUAGAUAUCUGGAGGAACACCGGUGGCGAAGGCGGGGUCUCUGGGCCGAUACUGACACUGAGGAGCGAAAGCGUGGGGAGCGAACAG
rnacentral:rRNA from 1 species